GAUGAACGCUAGCUACAGGCUUAACACAUGCAAGUCGAGGGGUAGCACGGAAGAAGCUUGCUUCUUUGGGUGACGACCGGCGCACGGGUGAGUAACGCGUAUCCGACCUGCCCAUGACUCGGGCACAGCCGCUCGAAAGAGCGAUUGAUUCCCGAUAUGUCUAUGAAGUAGAUUCCUGGAUGAAAGAUUUAUCGGUCAUGGAUGGGGAUGCGUAGGAUUAGGUAGUAGGCGGGGUAACGGCCCACCUAGCCGACGAUCCUUAGGGGUUCUGAGAGGAAGGUCCCCCCACACUGGAACUGAGACACGGUCCAGACUCCUACGGGAGGCAGCAGUGAGGAAUCUUCGGCAAUGGGCGAAAGCCUGACCGAGCAACGCCGCGUGAAUGAUGAA
rnacentral:rRNA from 1 species